rnacentral:lncRNA from 1 species
CUUGUGUCCCAGCGUCUGCCCAGUGAUUAAUAUGUUAAGCUCCAUAAAUGUUUAUUCAACGAGUAAAUUAGUGACUAGGUACUAAGUUCUUAUUCUUGUGUACAGUCACCUAUCAAAUCUUUCCACUCUUCUCUGGGCAAUUGGGGAAGCUAUGUAUAGAAAAUGGAAGAGUCUCUGUCAGCCUGGGUUACUAAGGGUGAACCUGAACUUUCUCUGAGUGAAAAAAAAAUCUAUUUUACUGAGCCACAGAGAUUUGGAUAUUCAUAUUUUAUAGCAGUAUUAACUAAUACAAGGUAUUUUUAACCUUUAAAAGAAAAGAAGAAAAAGUAGAAGUGAUACUAAUUUCCCAGAUGCCAUCCAACUCCUCUUUCACCAAUAGAUAGCAUUGAAAGGCGGGAAUCAGUGCCUCCUCCUAGUGAUAGUGCCUCAGUUGAGCAGGGCUUAUUCCGAACUCAGUAUGCAACAUCCCGACAGGGCAAAUCUAGGGAUUGCUCUCAAGUCACUAUCCAACAUCCCGAUGGGUUGAAUGGCAUGCCAAACACAGCAAUAAGCACUAUAAAAAAGCCAGGCCGCCCCGGGGUGGGGCCACGUGGCUUCAGACCAGAGAGCGGAGCUACCUUGGCCCAAGCGCUGCAGCUGCCUGAACCCCAGGGCUUCGCAGCCUUGCUUGUUUUCUCUGAACCGCAAUAGGACGGUGUUCACAGCGAUUCAAAGGGUGGCAUUGGGUUGGACGUUUUGGUUACGAGCCAGCCUAUUCCCACAUUGUACGUGAAUGUUUAAUGUGCUCUCAAAACAUGGAAAAUAAGUUUAGUGCACAUAGCUAAAUCACAAAACAUCCGAUUUCUGUUUCCUCAGGAAGUCAUUACUGCGCCACCACAUCACGUGACCUUAACAUGAUCAAUGUAUUUCUCUGCCUUGACAUUUAAAUAAACUAUAUAAAUUAAGAUAAGUAGAUUAGAAAAUCAUUCAAAUUAUACCAUAAUCUGUACAAAUAUUGUGUCCCCUGCCAGGCAAGGGACAGGGUGCGGGCGACGGCCGCGUGGCCAAGGCCCCGCAGGAAAGCGCCCAGGUCUCCCUCACUCUCCAGGUGCCCUUUGCACCCAACAGUGCGUGUGAGGAACGAACUGCUGUUUGAGCGUCCCCUGAGAUUGUGCGUAGCCCCGUGUAAAUGUAAUAGCCUCCAUGGCUUAAUUGGCUAGCAAGCGAAUUUUCCCAGAUGAAAGCAAUGUUGGGUUAGGGGACGACGGUGCAGCCACCCAGCCUUUACCAGCAGCGUGCUGCAGACGAAGGCAGUCAAGGUGUGGAGGUGAUCACGCAGGCGCAGGUCAGUUGCCGUGAUGCUCCUUGAGUCAAUGAGCUCUUUGGUCUGCUCUUCUGCUCAAGCAGAAAAUGAUCUGCGCUUCACCCUUGAGAAGCUGACAAGAACCACAGGCUUCUUCAGGCAGGUGGUGGAACAUGGGUGUAUCCUUCAGGUGCUUACAGUAUCUCCCUUUGCUCAGGCUCUAGCCUGAUUUUCUGGCUCAUAAGGCCAAAGGGAGCUGGAAAGGUCCCCACGGCAGGACUCAUGGUGGAGAGAGAAUGAUCUAGAGGAUUCAGGCCUCUGCACACUGUGUCUGGGUCCCUCCUUAAAGAAUGAUAAAGACAAGUAAAGAGCUUGAAGCAGCCUGGAGUCCAGCCAGAAACCUUUAACUGAGCUUUAAAGGAGAUGGUCACAACACUUUUCAGAAUACUGGCAAAGGCCUCCUGUGGCCAAGUUUGUCCUGGGAUGAGCAAAAUUUAAUGUUAACCUGCUGUAUCUUUGCUUUUAAUAUAUCUGCUUGCCCAUCACAAUGAUAUUAUGGUUAAUUUCACCAAUUUGGUAACCUGCCUCUUGGGAAGUACGAAAGUAAGCAAGGGCCAGGUAUGGUGACUCACGCCUGUAAUCCCAGUACUUUGGGUGGCUGAGGUGGGUGGAUUGCUUGAGCCCAGGAGUUCAAGACCAACCUGGGCACCAUGACAAAACCCCGUCUCUACAAAAUAUACAAAAAUUAACCAGGAGUGGCAGUGCAUGGCUGUAAUCCCAGCUACUCGGAGGCUGAGGUGGGAGAAUCUCUUGAGCCUGGGAGGCAGAGGUUGCAGUGAGCUGAGAUCACACCACUGCAUUCCAGCCUGGGCAAUGAAGUGAGACCCUGUCUCAAAAAAAAAAAAAAAAAAAAAAAAAGAGAAAGACAGUGAGGGUGUCCUGUGAAUCAAAUCUUUGAAUGGAUGUUUUCUUAACUAACCAAGACCUCUGUAAGAAUUCUGUCUUUGAUUCCACAAUAAAGUGGUGUGAAAUUACUAUAAGCAAAUGUUUACAUGUCUCAUUUAAUCUUCACAGCAAUCCUAUGAGGCAAGUAGAAUUGUUAUCCUCAUUUUCUGAGCGAUGAAACUGAGGCUCAGGGGAGGGUGUGACCUUGCCAAGUCCCCACAACUGGAAACCACGGAACAAAAUGACCUGAGUCACACAUGCUAGAAAAAACUCAUUGUGCCUCCCCAUGGAGAUUCACAAUGGCUAUUUCUGUUGCAAUAGAGGAUGAAGCAGGUGGUCUUUCCAAUCAAGAGCUGUUAAGAAAGGCUCCAGUUCUCCCCGGGGAAUCUCAGAAUCAGACUGAAGAUUCGGAAGAGCCUUUGCUGACCACUGAGUCAAACUCCCCAGAAUCCUUUUGUAGUACCGCUGACCAGUGAGUGAUCAUCAAACCUCCAAAGACUUCGGUAAUUUGCAGAUUCUAGGGAAAAUUCCAUGAGUUAACAGAGGUGAAAUUUGAAAGUUCCAUAGAGAAAUUCUGGAACUUGAAAUUAUCAUAGGAAGAUUAUUAUGCAAUUUCGUUCCUGUUAGUAGUCUUUAAUAAAGAGACUUCAGGUGAACACUGGGUUGAACCAAGAUUACUUUCUCCCAUUGUCACCAUUCUGAUUUCAGAUUGUUCCUUGCUGGUUUAUAUCCUCUUCAAUUCCAUUUUGUACCAGAUAGAGGCAGAGUAGAAGGAAAAACUGAACAACAAACCGCAUUUGUGCCAGCUCGAGGGAUAAACACCCUCUAAGGAGCAUCUCAAGCUUUCCACAAGAUUUCAACAGGGUCAACCCAGUUCACAGGCAGGUAGUGUGUCUUCAAUGUGUGGCCAAUCGCUGUUGGACAAACAGGAGGUGUUUUCCCCAGGAUACCCUGCACUAGACUCGGCAUCUUUUCAGUCUUCUUCCUAUUCUGUCUCCUUCCCAGCACACUGACACUGGAAGCACACUAAGUCAUCACAUGAGCAAUUCACAGGUGCCAUGAAAUACCUCACAAAUGUACAGCACUUUAACUGUUGACCCCAUGUAUUAGGUAAGAAAGAUAUUAUUAUUUACAUUUAUCUAUUGGAACUUGGGGGCACAGAGUGUUUAAAUUACCUGCCCAAGGGCACACAAGUCACUCGCCUCUUGUGUUUCAAUUAUACAAUGGCUUAGUGAUUCUUUCUUUCAGACGAUUGUUGUGAGGAGUGAAUGGAAUUAAAUCAAGUCUAUGUGGAAAGGGCCUGGAGCAUGAGUUCUCAAUGCAGGGUGACUACUGUCAGCACCAACUAGUUAUGAUAAUGACCAUGAUGAUGAUGGGGAAAUAAUAACACCUUGAAGUAAUAAUAAUGAAGUUAGAACGAUACUCCCAAAUGUAUGAAAAUUACAUCUAUAAAAUGAGUUAGUUUAUAAAUCGUGAGAAAAUGGGCAUCCUCAGGUAUUGCAGGUAGAAACACACAAUGGAAUAACUCUUGUCAGCAAGCUAAUCCAUUUCC